UUGUGUUCCUCCCAAUAAUAACUGAUUGAUAGAACAUAUGUUGUGACUGCGCCUUCGGGGAUUAUGGUUGAUGGUGAUGGAAUUCAAAGAGGAAGAAAAAACCCUCGUGAUGAGGGUUCACUGGAGGAGUUGCGCAGGAAGCGACUUAGAGAGCUAUAUGGGGGAUCUUCUGAGGAAGAUUCAGAUGGGGAGAUGGAUGCUGAGGAACAGGUGGUGGCUGGGGAAGCGGGCACUGAAUGGGCACAGGCACCGGAGAUGUCUGGGGAUUUGGGGCCUAUGGAUACUUCUGAACCUGGGGUUUCUGCAGGAGCUGAUGCCAAUUGGGAUGCUUGGAGAAGGGAGGAUGGUUCUUUAAGUGUUCAUGGGGCUAAGUGUGGGCAGGAUGAUUGGGACUCCGACGAAUUGCUAGGUACUCCAGAUCCACGAGCUCUAGCUGUGUGGAGUUCAGACUCUGAGUAGAUUUGGGACACCUGGUGUUUGGGUGUGAGUGUUUGGUCACCCAGGAGGAAGGGGAAUAAAAUGGGAAUGUUUGGCCAGCAUCACCUCCACCUAUUGGCAGCAGUUGACAACAAAAGAAAAAUAAAUGUAAUGGUGUACAUCAAAUCAAGAUCCUGCCCCUUUCCAAGGUUGGAGUACCCUAAGGAGCACUAGCAGAUAAUAUGAGAUCAAUUCAGUGAAAGCCAUUACAGAAAGUUUGUCAAAGAGAGAGAGAGACUAAAAAUGGAAUCACUAAAAUUUGGGUUCCAAUUACUGAUGCAAGGAAACUCAUCACCCCAUACCAGAUCUGGAAACACCUGGAGAAGAAGUGGCUUUCUAAGACCAGACACAUGGAGCCCUUCACAGGACACACAGGAACUUCUGGUCAGGCUGCGUGCCGAAAAGGGAGAAAAAGCAACACACGUAACCAUUGUGGCAACACAGGAGAGACUCAAAGUGUCUCACAAUAAAGAAAAAACAUUACAAUACAACUCAAAGUAUACAAAACCAUAAAGGGAUAUAAAUCACAUGGAUGCAGAGCAAUGGCACCAUCCUAUGGGACUCACAGAAGACCAUCAGGAAGUCAUGAAGAGUCCCUUUCAUAGUGUGGUUACUCAGCUAUGGGAAAAGAGCUGGACACCUCUGUAUUGUUUCGUCAUUCUCCACCAACAUGAAAAUGACUAUGGGAAGACAAAGCUGCCACACAGAAAAGGAUAUCAUUGGCGGUACAACAUCAAACAUUAUAAAGGUGGGGUUUUUUUCAAAGGCAUUUUGGGAGAAAUGAUUCUCUCACCUCAUAUUCCAGCUUUCCACAUAAUAUCCCUGAUUGUUAUUAAAAUAAGUUAUUUUUAGAGCCUGUCUUUUCAUUUUCUGCCAAGGUAAAUCUAUCACUCAUUUAGAAGGUGAUUUUCUUUGCGUGUAGACUGUAAAUUUGAGCCCUUAACUGUGAAAGAUUUGCACUUUCUUGUGGGUGAGCAUUUCAUUCAGUAGUAUUGAUUUUUCAGCCCUAUCCUUCCUGUUCUCUGUGCGUUAGGAACAAAAAAACUGAAAUCCUGAAGAACCACAUUAAAGAUGUCAGAAAAGAUAUAGGGUUGCACUUAGUUAUUUUUCCUGAGGAUUGU